rnacentral:rRNA from 1 species
GACGAACGCUGGCGGCGUGCUUAACACAUGCAAGUCGAGCGGUAAGGCCCUUUCGGGGGUACACGAGCGGCGAACGGGUGAGUAACACGUGGGUGACCUGCCCUCAGCUCUGGGAUAAGCCUGGGAAACCGGGUCUAAUACUGGAUAUGACUCCAUGACGCAUGUUGUGGGGUGGAAAGCCUUGUGCGGCUGAGGAUGGGCCCGCGGCCUAUCAGCUUGUUGGUGGGGUGANGGCCUACCAAGGCGACGACGGGUAGCCGGCCUGAGAGGGCGACCGGCCACACUGGGACUGAGACACGGCCCAGACUCCUACGGGAGGCAGCAGUGGGGAAUCUUGCGCAAUGGGCGAAAGCCUGACGCAGCGACGCCGCGUGAGGGAUGAAGGCCUC